UUUCAAAAUUUUCCUCCAUUUCUAUUGUUAAAAAUAGGCAUGGCUGACGGAAUAACUAGACAAUUACAAAUGGUAUGCCAUGUGUACCUCAUGUCGAUGUACAGGAACUAGUUUUUAACAGUAGAAAUGGAUGAAAAUUAAA
rfam:Gossypium raimondii Chr04_contig_1022, whole genome shotgun sequence.